rnacentral:rRNA from 1 species
UACGGGGGGGGCAAGCGUUGUUCGGAAUUACUGGGCGUAAAGGGCUCGUAGGCGGCCCUCUCAGUCGGAUGUGAAAUCCCCAGGCUUAACUUGGGAACGGCAUCCGAUACUGGAGGGCUUGAAUUCGGGAGAGGGAUGCAGAAUUCCAGGUGUAGCGGUGAAAUGCGUAGAUAUCUGGAGGAACACCGGUGGCGAAGGCGACAUCCUGGACCGGUAUUGACGCUGAGGCGCGAAAGCGUGGGGAGCGAACAGG